CUCAAUUGGUUUUCUUCAAAAAUGGUGAAGGGAAAGUGAUAUGUAUCCUUGUCGUGGUGGCGGUGUUUUUGAACUUGUUGUACUUCUAUGGAAUGUGUGGUGUAGUGAAUGAUUGCUUGCUUCAACAGUACUUUAGCAAUAGUCCUCUAGUGGUGGUUCGCUCUUGAAUAUAAUUACAGAAGACGUGCGGGAGAAGUUAUCGGUAUAGCUGUCGGAUGUGCAAGUGGACUAUUGAUACUUGCAUCCAUUUUCUAUCUAUGGUGGAUGAAGGAAUCACCUGGCCAUAUGCAAGUGCACACAAACUCAUCAAGAUUUGUACUUUCAACAUUAU